rnacentral:rRNA from 1 species
AACGAACGCUGGCGGCAUGCCUAACACAUGCAAGUCGAACGAGGCCUUCGGGUCUAGUGGCGCACGGGUGCGUAACGCGUGGGAACCUGCCCCUAGGUUCGGAAUAACUCCCCGAAAGGGGUGCUAAUACCGGAUAAUGUCUUCGGACCAAAGAUUUAUCGCCUUUGGAUGGGCCCGCGUUGGAUUAGCUAGUUGGUAGGGUAAAAGCCUACCAAGGCGACGAUCCAUAGCUGGUCUGAGAGGAUGAUCAGCCACACUGGGACUGAGACACGGCCCAGACUCCUACGGGAGGCAGCAGUGGGGAAUAUUGGACAAUGGGCGAAAGCCUGAUCCAGCAAUGCCGCGUGAGUGAUGAAGGCCUUAGGGUUGUAAAGCUCUUUUACCCGGGAUGAUAAUGGCAGUACCGGGAGAAUAAGCUCCGGCUAACUCCGU